rnacentral:rRNA from 1 species
AAAUUGAAGAGUUUGAUCAUGGCUCAGAUUGAACGCUGGCGGCAGGCCUAACACAUGCAAGUCGAACGGUAACAGAAAGCAGCUUGCUGCUUUGCUGACGAGUGGCGGACGGGUGAGUAAUGUCUGGGAAACUGCCUGAUGGAGGGGGAUAACUACUGGAAACGGUAGCUAAUACCGCAUAACGUCGCAAGACCAAAGAGGGGGACCUUCGGGCCUCUUGCCAUCGGAUGUGCCCAGAUGGGAUUAGCU